rnacentral:tRNA from 1 species
GCUCGCGUAACUCAGUUGGUUAGAGUGUUGGUCUUAUGAGCCAAAAGUCCGCGGUUCGAGCCCGCGCGUGAGCA